rnacentral:tRNA from 2 species
GGAGAGUUGCCAGAGCGGACGAAUGGGACGGUCUCGAAAACCGUUGAGGUUACGGCCUCCGGGGGUUCGAAUCCCCCACUCUCCGCCA